UGACACCUAAGAAUCAUCUUAGACCCUUGAUUAUUGUUAAUUUAACGGAUGACAUUAAUAGAUUAUAGUUAUAAUUUAUAUUACCAUUUAAUUUAGAUUCUGCCGAUUUGUGUGAAUAAGGGCAGUUAGGGUAUUACAUUGAAGACAAAUAACCGAGUGCAAUUAAAGAUUUGUGCAUUUCCCUAAUUUACCACGUUGACUAAAUGGAAGAGAAAUCAAUUGAUGAGUGAAUAUAGCAUCUUUCCACCGCCAUUUUCACUUAUUACCUUCUGUCACUUUUGGGCUUCCAUUACCGAGUAAAACCAAGGUGAGUAAAAGCUUGUUCAUCUACGGUCAAGCAAGAGUUCAAGAGUUUCGGUCAUUCAAGUCCGAUGGAGUCUGCUGAACAUCACCACCAUCGAACAAGAGAAAGGUUCAUCAUCCAAGCAUAGACGCUACACAAGAAAAGAGAAGGGAAAUGGUAUAGCAAAAAUAGUCAAUGAACCCCCAAAGCUUGUUCAAAAUGUGGAAGGAAACGACAAGGUAACCAUUGGUAGAGGGAAACACAAACCAAUACCGAAGAAUCCAAAUGAUAUAAAAUGCAAACGCAUGGGGUGUAGGCCAGAGAAGCAGACAAUGUUGAUGGUGGCAAGUUUUCGAAGUUGAACACAAGAACUACUCUGGGGGCUCUGUACGAUAGCUUAGCUUUGAUUGUUGAAUAUGUGGAAAACAUACAUGAACAAAAAAUAUGUUCUUGAUUGGAAAAUGUAUGUUCAUAAUUUAAUAUGGUCAUGAAUAAAAGUUAAGGUCAA